UUCAUCCGGAAGAUAAUUACCACUCCGGAUUUUUUUUCUCUCCAUCUAAAACAGCCCGUAUCGGUUCCCGUACUGGCCUUGUGGCCUCGCUCCUCUCUCCCUCCUCUCGUCGAUCCCUAUCCACUCCAAAGAAAAGGAAAAUAACCCCAUCGGCACCUGGUUCUUCAUCCACACGCAUCAUUUCGCCAGAUUUGCUGUCGGCGAAGGUGGCCGGGUGAGUGCGUGAACGCGCUUGAUGCGGAAUUCAGGGUGCAGAUGCUCGCCCACCUCGGCGAGUCCGGCGGCGAGGCCAUCAAGAGGUCCGGCGGCUAGCGACGGUGGUGGAUGUGCUGGAGGUUGGUGGCGUUGAGGAGGCAGUAAGGAAGCUCACGGAGAAGGGUGUGGAUUUCCUAGAUGAGUUCAUGCAAUGGAUAAUGGUCGGAUCUGAGGAGCGGGGCAGAGACUUGCACUGCGGCUAUGCUUCAUGAGAGCUAUGGGGUUAUGUAGACAAAUGUGAGAUCGUGCCAUAAGCAAAUGACAUCAAGAUCUGAGCACCGUUGCAGACAGCCUCGAGUUAUUUUCCUCUUCAUCUCCUACAAAAUGUUGCUUGCAUGGUCAAUUUGGGCAUCGGUUUGUUAAGCAGCAAAAGCUCGCAUGUUGAAUCUACUCAACUCAACCCGUACCGGUUCCCGUACUGGCCUUGUGGCCUCGCUCCUCUCUCCCUCCUCUCGUCGAUCCCUAUCCACUCCAAAGAAAAGGAAAAUAACCCCAUCGGCACCUGGUUCUUCAUCCACACACAUCAUUUCGCCAGAUUUGCUGUCGGCGAAGGUGGCCGGGUGAGUGCGUGAACGCGUUUGAUGCGGACUUCAGGCUGCAGAUGCUCGCCCACCUCGGCGAGUCCGGCGGCAAGGCCAUCAAGAGGUCCGGCGGCUAGUGAUGGUGGUGGAUGUGCUGGAGGUUGGUGGCGUUGAGGGGGCAGUAAGGAAGCUCACGGAGAAGGGUGUGGAUUUCCUAGAUGAGUUCGUGCAAUGGAUAAUGGUCGGAUCUGAGGAGCGGGGCAGAGACUUGCACUGCGGCUAUGCUUCAUGAGAGCUAUGGGGUUAUGUAGACAAAUGUGAGAUCUUGCCAUAAGCAAAUGACAUCAAGAUCUGAGCACCGUUGCAGACGGCCUCGAGUUAUUUUCCUCUUCAUCUCCUACAAAAUGUUGCUUGCAUGGUCAAUUUGGGCAUCGGUUUGUUAAGCAGCAAAAGCUCGCAUGUUGAAUCUACUCAACUCAAGUAUGUUUCCACCAGAAAACUCAAUCGUGUAGUGUAUGGAAUGACAUGUUUAUUUAGUUUCUACUAAUUAGUUUGGAUAACCUCUGAUCAUCCGAUGAAGUAACUGAGAAGAAAUUUUGGUCAUGUUAUUACUUCCCAUUUUUUUAUACCUAUGCAAUUAAUGUUAUUUGUUGCUGGUUUUGCUGUGGCGCCAAGUCUAAAUGAGGGAACCUUGUUUUUAUUCAAAGCAAGAUCCAUGUGUUGACAUAGGAUGGAUUUUGUACAAAAUGCCUAUAAUAUCGAGCUUUUCUAAUAUUCUCUUAACUGAAAAAGGCUGUUGGAUAGAGAGCUAUUAUGAAGAGCAGAAAACUCAUAUCAAGUAAUUACAACAUGACAUGCUUCUGGUAGUGCUAACUUCAGCCGUUCAGCGCCUUGUUAUGUAAUACGUGUCGUUAUAUUGGUAGAUGUCAAGUGCUCUUCUCUAUCUCAGUUAUGGUCUGCCUUAGUUUCAGUCUAAGCUAUAUUAAUCAACUAAUUUUGUGGGUAACCUCCUUGUUCGCCUAGGUUUUUUUGGCUACUGUAUCUUCGAACUGACCACUUCUCUUGUAGCAUUUUUCAUCAACACUUCCGGUCUUGUGGCCAUAAACCUCUUUGGUCAUUUUAUGCGAUCUCCUUAUGACUGCAGUAUCAGUACAUCUUAUUUUGCCACAACUGGCAACUAGUCUUCAUCUUCAAGCAUUGCAGUUUUUACUUCCGCUUCAACAUGUUUCUUGUUCCCAGCAUACAUCUCUCCUUUCUUGUACACUUAUCUUGGUGUAUUCAUCCUCUGAGCCAUCCGAUAAUAUGAUAGAUCUCUAUCAUUUUCUUUUGUCAUUGCAGAGUCCAUGUGAUGUUUAUGUUUUUUUUCUUCACACCCAUCAUCAUGUACUAUAACCCCAUUAGUAUCGUGUGGUUCUUCUUACAUAGAAACAAAUUGUCAUAUCCUUUUCUGAGGUGAAUCUCUAUUGUUAUUUGUCUGCAAAAUAAAAAUACAUUUCAAAGAUUACACGUGUCUCUAAAGUUUGAGAAGUAGUACUCUGAGAAAAUUAAUCACCCUUUAGCCUCUAUGUUAUGCUUCUUUGUUGCUUUUUUGAACACGGCGUCCACUUUAUCAUGCAAAAUUCUGAGAAUCAUAUGUGAGAUGUAUUAGUUAGGAAAAUACAAACACAAUACUUCUUUUGUAAUGGAUAAAGGCAAAUUUUCCUCCUCGGCUUUAUCUUUCAGGUCCAUCAUCUCAAGCCUAUCAUCACACACAAAUGUUCUUUUUACUGCAUAGUUUUUGGUUCUGAAAGUGAGAUUGCCAUCGCUGAACAUGAGCUGAAAAUAGGUGUUUGUCAACAUUAUUAUUAUGUAAUCUUUGGCGCUUCUUCAUAUUUCUCAUCCAGUGAAUUUAGCAAGUCCGAGACAAAUGUAUUGAACAAUUUUUCGGCCUCACCGUCAAAUAAAGUGCAACUUGUAGUAGUCGUAUAGUCAUUAAUUUACUGUCAAAUACGAUAACUAUCAUACGAUUGUUAUUAGUGUAGAGUAAAUGUAAUAGGAAAGAAGUCUUCUUCAAAUUAGUAGAAUAUGCUUACCGAGGUGAUACAUCAUCUCGAUAUGUAUCACAACUCUCGUAACAGUACUUGUCAACUUCCUUCUUAUCUAGUUUGUGAAAAUCAUCACAUCACAUAUACCAGCUUUGAAUAUGAUCCCUUGUAGCUAUUACUGUGAACACAAAAUCCUAAAAUGAUUUCCCAAAAAUUUAGCAUACUGGAGAAAGUGAGAGACAUAAUUAAGUAGAUAUGCACUAUAACUGAUAUUUACUAAGUUGUCAUUGCAGGUGUUGAGAGUCUGGUUUUCCUCAAAAAGUGGCGAUUUCAUAUCUUAGAAGAAGUCUCGCAUUAGUUCAAAUUUGAACUAAAACCAUAACACUUAUUUUGGAUCGAGGGAGUAUGAAUUUGGUAUUGAUUCUUGUGUUGAGUUCCUGCACAUUUGGAGCAAAUCGAGUAUAAUAAUUAUCUUAGAUUGAUGAAUAAAGAUGAGUCAAGAUAAAUUAGCUGAGAAAUAAUAAAAGUUGGUCUUUCAUACCUGUCAACAAUUUCCCAAGUUUAUGGUAUAUCUAGAUCUGUAUAGAUUCUUAUGACACUUGACUUUAAGCAUAAUCAUGUUUAAUCAAAGUAAAUUCUGUUAGACAUAUUUUUAUAAGGGAGAAGUAUAUUUUUUGUCCCUAAACUCUUUCGAAAGUAUAGAAAUAGUUCUUGAAUUCAAAAACCAGCAAAACUUAGUCCCUCAACUUUUCAAACCGGAUUUGUUUAGUCCCUCAUACCGCUUCGAGUGGUUUCCAUCUGAUGUGGACAUGGUUUUGACCAAAAACUUGAAACGUCACCUAGGCUUGACCACCACGUCAGUCCAUGUCAUUUUUUUUAAAGCACAGUGCAUGUCACCAAGGGCCCCAGUACUACCAGGCGCGGCGAGUUCGGAUGAGAAGCCGGACAGCGUCGUCCAUUACGGUCAUGCGGCGGAGACAAAGUGCUCGAGCGGCCAGAGGAGCUCGGCGACCCAGGGCGUGGCGUUGGCAGACGAGUUACUUGGCCUCCGUGUUGCACGGGCCGUCGAGCUGCAGCCUGCGCCCAGCGCGACGCCGCUGACCUUUUGGACAGGAGGCCUGAGCAGGAGGAGGAGCUCGAGGCCGCGAGCUCGGACAAGCCCUCCGCGGGCACCUCCACUGACCGCGUUGGCCAUGCAUCCGAUCGUAUGCAGCAGGGUGUAAGGUGCAGUCUAGGGAGCAACACAUCACGUGCGUGUGUAUUCUGGGCGAGAUCGGAUCAGCAUGUUCGUUGUGUUUGGCCUGCAUCUCCUGCGGGCUGCGGGCCGAAUCAAUACGUAUGUUCACGUAUACCUACGUGUUUUGCCGGCGGCUAGAAUCAAUCCAGCAGCUAGUCUGCACUUCGUGUUCCUUCGUGGAGCACGCCUGCCUCACAGGAGACCCAAGGCCGCGCCCUGGUGCACCAGCUCAUUGCAGGAGCUCGCGAUCCCUGCUCGCGUGGUGCAGACUUGAGCCACCAGCGGUGGCAGCGACACGAGCAAAAGAGCAGCUUUGGGAGCUUCACGCCGUUGACCCUGCCUCCAGCACUCUAACAGACCAAGGGAAUACACAGGCCAUCGUUAAUCAGCCUCAUCAUGGACCACCCGGGCCGACGCGCACCGAGCCGCGCCACGCCGGCUGCAGGCGCAGCCGUAUUUGCCCGUUGCACACACUGCCGGGCGCCGUCGACACGCACUGCCCGCUCACUGAGCAUUAUACCGAGCACCUUUCGUGCACGUGUCCGAGUCAAAAACCACACUGCGUCAGCGGAAAAUCACCCUAAGCAAGACGAGGGAUUAAACUUAUCCGGUUUUGAAAGUUGAGGGACUAAACUUAUCUGGUUUUGAAAGUUGAGGGACUAAACUUAUCUGGUUUUGAAAGUUGAGGGACUAAGUUUUGCUGGUUUCGGAGUCGAGGGACCAUUGCUAUACUUUCGAAAGAGUUGAAGGACGAAAAAUAUACUUAUCCCUUUUUAUAAUUAAUAGAAGAGCUUGUAACAUUAAUGAACUUACCAUUGAACUUCCGCACCAGUGAUGAGGAAUGGUUGUGCAUUAUGGACUUAAUCUUAUAUUAGAAUUCAAUCUGGCUGAAAUAUGAAGGUUCGUGGUUAUUUCUUUUUAUUAUUGAUUCCACAUGCUCCAUUUGGGUUGGUAGUCCAAUGACGUCUAUAAAAGCGGAGUUAAUUAUUUGAAAGUUUCAUCUAAUUUUUUUUCCUUUGUAGCAAACUCGAAGUAGUAAACUGGGUAACCUUCUGAUGAUCCUCUCACCUCCUUUACUUUUUUAAUGUAUGAAAAAUAACUAUAUUUCACUGCUUACUCGAAUAUACUUAUUCCACAAACUUAAAAUUGUUACAUAAAUAGAUUCUCAUUUAUCUUUGUUCUAUAUGUGUCUAUAAAUUAAACUACUUCCCGAUAGUCGCAAGAAUUGUUUGGCCAUGUGAAAACAAUCAAAACAUACUUAGUAGUUGUUGUAGAAAAUAAUAGAACAGUUCGCAAGUAAAUAUAUGAUGACUAAACCUUUUCAUCGAUGAAUAUCAUACCGGCAUACUUAGUAGUUAAAACAAACAAUAGAACAAUCUGCUAAUAAAUAUGCAAUGGCUAAACCUUUUCAUCUAUGAAUAUCAUGCCGAGGUUCCAGAGCCAAUUAAUUGUAGGAUUGAUUGAAUUUCAUAUUCUCAUUACUUGCACUUGAAUACAUAGUUUCGUUCUCCUGUUGUGAACUCGCUAUGCUUGUUGUAUGCCAUUGCUGCAAAAGGAUCACAAAAUCGCUAGGGAAUUAUUAAUAAUGCAUCUAUGAAGAUUGUAUGCAGAAUAACAAUUACAAACCUUGAUGAUUCAGGUGAGAGGCUACUCAGAAGGUAGAUUGGAUCCAGAAUAACAAUUGCGAACCUUGAUGAUUCAGGUGAGAAGCCACUCAGAAGGUUGCUUGGGCGUCACUACAUCUGGCUUGGUGACAUUACGUAGUUGAAUUGGAAGACUGAUUUUGUUGGUAGUGUGCUAGCUAGGUAGCAGAUUUGGCUGACUUCAAUUUUUGGGCAUGUGCUGGGUGCGGUUGCAUGUAUGUGUUUUUAUGUGCCGUGUUUGUCUUGGCAAGUCAUGUUUGUACUCCGUAUACACGUCUUAUUUGCAUGUGUGUCCGAGUUUGAAAAAAAAUGAUGUCCUUAUUUGCUUAGGUUCCUUAUUUAUUUAUUUAUUUAGGUUUGACUAC